rnacentral:tRNA from 1 species
GCAGUGAUGGUUCAGUAGUUGACGGCUCGCCUUUCAUGUGGGAGACCUGGGUUCGAUUCCUGGCCAGUGCA